rnacentral:rRNA from 1 species
UUGAGUUUGAUCCUGGCUCAGGACGAACGCUGGCGGCGUGCUUAACACAUGCAAGUCGAACGAUGAACCGCUUUCGGGCGGGGAUUAGUGGCGAACGGGUGAGUAACACGUGGGCAAUCUGCCCUGCACUCUGGGACAAGCCCUGGAAACGGGGUCUAAUACCGGAUAUGACUGUCCAUCGCAUGGUGGAUGGUGUAAAGCUCCGGCGGUGCAGGAUGAGCCCGCGGCCUAUCAGCUUGUUGGUGAGGUAGUGGCUCACCAAGGCGACGACGGGUAGCCGGCCUGAGAGGGCGACCGGCCACACUGGGACUGAGACACGGCCCAGACUCCUACGGGAGGCAGCAGUGGGGAAUAUUGCACAAUGGGCGAAAGCCUGAUGCAGUGACGCGGCGUGAGGGAUGACGGCCUUCGGGUUGUAAACCUCUUCAGCAGGGAAGAAGCGAAAGGACGUAC